rnacentral:rRNA from 1 species
CCUAUCCCCUGUGUGCCUUGGCCUCAGGUGGCAGCAGCCGCGGUAAUACCCGCAGCCCGAGUGGUGGUCGAUUUAUUGAGUCUAAAACGUUCGUAGCCGGUCUGAUAAAUCCUUGGGUAAAUCGGGAAGCUUAACUUCCGAAUUCCGAGGAGACUGUCAGGCUUGGGAUCGGGAGAGGUAUGAGGUACUUCAGGGGUAGGGGUAAAAUCCUGUAAUCCUUGGAGGACCACCGGUGGCGAAGGCGUCAUACUAGAACGAAUCCGACGGUGAGGGACGAAGCCCUAGGUCGCAAACGGGAUUAGAUACCCCGGUAGUCUAGGGUGUAAACGCUGCAGACUUGGUGUUGGAGGCCCUUCGGGGGCAUUCAGUGCCGGAGAGAAGUUGUUAAGUCUGCUACUUGGGGAGUACGUCCGCAAGGAUGAAACUUAAAGGAAUUGGCGGGGGAGCACCGCAAACCGGGAGGAGCGUGCGGUUUAAUUGGAUUCAACACCGGAAAACUCACCAAGGGAGACCAUCACAUGAAAGCCAGGCUAAUGACUUUGCUUGAUUCUUGGAGAAGUGGUGCAUGG